AUGAUUAUAAUCAUCACUGUUAUUAUGAUUAUUUGUUGUCCUAGCUACAGCAAUAAACAUGCCGAGUACAGCUCUCUGUCCACAAAGGGGUCCCACCAACACGUGGCAAUGGAGGAGGGGUUCAGGGCUCAGAAUGUCCAACCUUGCAGGGUGCCACUAUCUGCUCCCCACAGCUGUCCCUGGCCCGGGGCCCUCUGGAAAAAAAAGUCAAAGCCUCCCUGGACUGUGGGGAUCGUCUCCCCUGCAACUCAUUCUGACCAGGGAGCUCCAAGGUGGAGGCCAGAGCCAUAUCGGGCACUCUCUACCAGCCCUAGGCCAAGAAACGUGAUCCGAGGUGAGCAAAGCCCAGGCUGGAUAUCCCCACCACCUGCGAUGACUUCUGUGGACACAGACUUUCACAUCCCCUUGCCAGGAAAGGUAUUCAGUUGACUGAAGAUGAUAAAGGAGUGUUUCCAGGCUAAUGAAUUGUCUCAAUUCACUGGUGAGCCCAGGAAGGCCCUGAGCAGCCACCAGCCUGGGGAGCCCACCCACAUCUCCACAGUGAUCUGUCCCAAAUGAUCAGGACUGAAUUCAAAUCCUCCCUCAUUUUUGAUACCCACUUCCAAGUUAGGACCAACACAGGAAGACCAAAUAUGCUGACCGUUAUGGAUCAUGCAGAAUGCACCUCUUCUUGUCAGUCUGCCUCUAGCCAUUCCUGGAUCAGCCAGCACCCAGCAGGAUGUACCUUCCCCUUUUCCUACCAUAAAGCUUUCCCAUGCCUCUGCCUGCUUUUGAGUCUCUGCCAAGCACACGCUGUUAUAGUGCCUCAAUCUUACAAUAUAGAGCAAGCUCUCAGUUAACAGACCUUGUUCUCAUGUGGGUGAUCUUUAUAUCCACAGAGCUUUUGAUUCAGGAUUCUUUUGGUGCCCCUGUGCCAGCCAGAAACUUCUGUGGCUGGCAGUGUAGGGACCUUGCUCAGCUCUGAGUUCACUGCUUGGCUUGCUCCAACCACUCAGCCUGGCGGGCUGUGCUUGGCUCAUGCUACUCACCCGGAUCCCAUGCCCACUAGCUCUGCACUCAGCCUGCAACUGGUCAUGUGCUCCCUUGAAUGGCUUCUGCCUUGGGUACCAAUGUCUGGAUAAGGUAAAUGCAGCGGUGCCUGAAAGCUUGGAGAUGCCAGCAACCACAGAGCCCCAAAGGGUGUUAUAGCCUUUUGCUCAGGGAGUCCUGAGCUCUGAGCCCUCAGGAAGCAUUUCAGCUCAUUUGUGUUAUAGCUCAUUCAUUCCCAUCAUCCACAAGCUUCAGCAAAUUGGGGCAUGUCCCAGCUUGUUUGGUUCUGCCACCCAGCUCAGGCCCUCGGGUUCUUGGCUGGCCAAGUUCCUCUGCUACUGUUUCCCAUCACAUGGGGCAGCCAUCCAGCACUGGUGGAGGGUGGGAGGGCUACAGUGCUACAACUCUUUUUGCACCUGGCAUUUGGUGGGCUCAGGGUUUUUGUCCCACAUCCAAGAGGAUUUAGCUAUGCAGACACCAGAGAGUGGGCAAGGCAGGGUAGAAUGUUAUUGAGUGACAGAAAAGCUCUCCACAAGAGAGGGGACACAAAGUGGGUAGCCCUUGGUGUGAGAGGGAGCCUGAAGGCAGAUAGUCCCAGUGAGUGGCUGAGUCUGGGAUUUUUAUGAGCUCAGAAUUGUGGAGUGCAUACUAAUUGGUCCAUGGGCAGGCCUGAAAAAAGUACCAUUUGAUUAGCUAAAAGGCACCAAGGAAGUUCUCACUCUGGGUUGUGGACUCUACAUGGAAUUGGCAGCCCAGUUUUCAGGCUUCAGCUUGUCUUUUGGCCUGAAGAUUGGGUUUCACCGAGCACCUUUUUGUGCAUAGGAAUUUGUCUGUCUCCUGUCACUAUCAGUUAGUAAUAUGGAAAGCAAAUAAAGCAAUCAGAAUCAUAACCA
rnacentral:lncRNA from 13 species